GAACUCGUUUUCUUGAUGAUCUAGCCCUAGCAAACAUGUGGAUAGGAAUCACAUUAGCAUGGACUCAAGAACGGAAGGUUAACGGGUCAAGCGGAGGCGAGGAAUCAAGCAUGAACACUAACGCUUAAGGUUGUACAAAUCAUAGAUUAUCACCAUGAGGUGUAGCGAUCAAAGACCGAGUCACGAGAUAGAUUGUACGGG